GAUGAACGCUGGCGGCGUGCCUAAUACAUGCAAGUCGAGCGAACGGACGAGAAGCUUGCUUCUCUGAUGUUAGCGGCGGACGGGUGAGUAACACGUGGAUAACCUACCUAUAAGACUGGGAUAACUUCGGGAAACCGGAGCUAAUACCGGAUGAUAUUUUGAACCGCAUGGUUCAAAAGUGAAAGACGGUCUUGCUGUCACUUAUAGAUGGAUCCGCGCUGCAUUAGCUAGUUGGUAAGGUAAUGGCUUACCAAGGCAACGAUGCAUAGCCGACCUGAGGGGGUGAUCGGCCACACUGGAACUGAGACACGGUCCAGACUCCUACGGGAGGCAGCAGUAGGGAAUCUUCCGCAAUGGGCGAAAGCCUGACGGAGCAACGCCGCGUGAGUGAUGAAGGUCUUCGGAUCGUAAAACUCUGUUAUUAGGGAAGAACAUAUGUGUAAGUAACUGUGCACAUCUUGACGUUACCUAAUCAGAAAGCCACGGCUAACUACGUG
rnacentral:rRNA from 1 species